rnacentral:rRNA from 1 species
AUUGAACGCUGGCGGCAUGCCUUACACAUGCAAGUCGAACGGCAGCACGGGAGCAAUCCUGGUGGCGAGUGGCGAACGGGUGAGUAAUGUAUCGGAACGUACCUUUCAGUGGGGGAUAACGUAGCGAAAGUUACGCUAAUACCGCAUAUUCUGUGAGCAGGAAAGCAGGGGAUCGCAAGACCUUGCGCUGAUUGAGCGGCCGAUAUCAGAUUAGCUAGUUGGUGAGGUAAAGGCUCACCAAGGCGACGAUCUGUAGCGGGUCUGAGAGGAUGAUCCGCCACACUGGAACUGAGACACGGUCCAGACUCCUACGGGAGGCAGCAGUGGGGAAUUUUGGACAAUGGGCGCAAGCCUGAUCCAGCCAUGCCGCGUGAGUGAAGAAGGCCUCGGUUGUAAGUACGUCUUCUAG